rnacentral:lncRNA from 1 species
CUGCCAAUUACCACGUCCCUGUACUGUACUGCGCAAGUCCUUAUGGGAGCGCGACGUUUCCUCCCGUCGGGUCAGAGGGUCCGACGUAGACGAAGGGCGUCGAGUCGGUGCUAGGCUGUCCGUCUCUCCGCUGGCCUCGUCCUCUGGUCUCGUCUGGUCGGCGGCGAUGCUCCUUCCAGCGGGAUCAGGUGCAGGUGUCCCGGUCGGUAGUCAGAUCAACAGACUGACUAGUAGACUGGUCGGUGGGACGGAUCGUCGACUUGCUUGAGCAAGAAAAUGAAAAAAGAAAAAAGAAAGCAAGAAUACCAGUAGAAAUAGUGCAUUUCCAGAACUGCUGAUGGGAGGUGGCAGGUCCCAUGGUUUUGACCCAUUUGAUACCCAAAAGGCUGCAGAUCAUAUGAAAAAUGUACAGCUUUGGUUAGCAAAUAAUGAAAAAGUAAGAUACAUCAAUUCUCUUUCAUAUUUUACAGUAUAUACAUUGUAACAAUAUCAACUUGAGGGGUUUGCUUUUUUUUUUGGCAAAUAAGACAAAAUUGGGACUCUAAGUAUUGGGCUUUUUUUUCUCCUCAAUGACUUGUUCCCCUUUUAAUAAAUCGUACUUCAGCCCACUGUGCACAGAAGCGAUAGAUUCCCGUCGUUGGCGGAAUAAAUUUACGUGCUGUUUGAAGAGACAAAACCACGACUCCUUCCAGCCACACGGUGGUGGCGCCGAGGUCACAGAGUCCUCCAUCCUCACGGCUUCUAACCAGGUUGGAAGUGACAUCCAAACCCUCGGCCCAUCCCCCAUCACCGAUCUGCUCCCAGACAAAGGGCCCACCCAGAGCAGCCUUUCGGGCCUCCUGGUCCCCAGCGCACCUUCAGAACAGGUGGGCCCUCGCUGGAGCUUGCUGCAAGGACUUCGGACCUCAUGCCAAGCCUCUCCCCUGCCCUCGCUGCCACAAGACACCCCUUGGUCUCAGGUCCCAGGGCUGGUGACAAAGAGAUCUUUGCGGUCUUACAAAAUAAACUGGGAAUCUACAAAAGGAAAAGAAAGCAUACAAAAUGUAUCUCUUUCUUCCAAAAUACAAGCUUUCAGUCCGACGUUUUGGUGGAGCCUGAAAGUGUUUCCAAGGGAGAUAUAGGUUGAGAUAAUUUAUAGGUUUGUCCUAUUCUUUCAUAAAAAUACUCUUGUUUGGUAAUAAACUUUGUCUUCUACAGUAAGAGAAAUAAUACUGUGUUAUCAAAAGCAAGAAGGCUUUACGAUUCAAGUGGGAUCGAAGCCCCCAGGCCCUGGGGCCCUCCGUGGCAGCUCUCCCACCCCAGACCCCCAGGGAGCUGUCGGACACCAGCUCGGCAAAAGCAACACUGUCUCAACAGUGCUUUUUUAUCUUCUUAUUUUAUAAAACGGCUUACCUGAGAGAGGCAUGUAUUAUUCAGUGCAAGAGGGAACAUCAAUCAGAUUAAGGAGUCAAUGGGAACUAUGUGGAUUAGAUUUGCUGCUCUGUCGUCUGCCUUUCUCGGGCCAGCAAAGUGCCAAGUAUGAACACAGUGAGGGAGCUGAGGACCUUGGCACAGACUCCAGUUAGGGCUAGGGCGAGAGCUAAAAGUCAGCUUCUGUCCCGGGCACCGUGGGUGCGUCAGGGGGCAGGGGAAGGAUGGGGAAGGGGCUGGGAGGCUGAAGGGUCGAAGGCAUAAGCAUCUGGGGUGUGCUCCGCCCUCUCUAGCUAGGGCAGAGGAUGGCUUGUGGUCCUGAACGGACAGCUCCCACCUUGCCACGAGGCGGCGGUGGUCUGGGGUCCGUGUCCGCAGGGGCAGGGGCUGGUGGCAGGUGCCAGCAGGAGCGCACUGGGCACAGGCGCUCUGGGCCCAGCCAAGAAUGGCUCCCAGGUGGCUGGAGUGAGGGUGGGGCUCGACCCAGUCUGGAAAGGUGAUUCCAAGCUCUCGUUCUCCCAACCACGGUAUCACUGGGGCUUGUUCUCAACCUACAUGUUAGAGUCGCUUCUUGGCGUGUUUGGGGUGGGGGGAGAGGGACACUGGCCUCUCUCAGCCCCCUCCAACAACCCUGGCUUACUUACCCAGACAUUUUCGGUAGCUACAUGGGUGGUCACAGAAUACUGGGUGGCACUCAGCACAUGACACAGAACUGGAAAAGUCCAUGCAGGCAGGGGAACACACGUUGGACCGAGGGAGCAAGGAACACGCCACCGCAAGGAACAUGCAAACGGAGAAGGUCCUUGCAGAUCCAAGGAUGCCACAACCCGACGGCGCUGAGGAAGCACAAUUAUCUAAGAAAAAGCCACAGUUGAACAAUGACACGCAGCAUGGCGCCACAUCUACACCCUCUCUGAAAGAGUGAUGCACUGCAGAGCAGCGACCGUACCGUGCAGACGCCCACGAGUACAGCGACACAGACACCGACACAGACACACACACAGAUGCAUUAGGGUUCUGACACGCCGCAGACCUGCACUGGAGGAGGCAGGUGCCCCGGAAGGAGCAGCAGG